UCUGACUCAGGCUCAGCCCGUCACGUGGACAUUGGCUGCAGGAAGGUGCGUCCUCCCCGCUCCCACCCUGAGCUCAGCCACGCUUCCUCUGCCCUGGGCCACGCCCCCUCCUUUUUCUCCGGAGGAGGAGCCGCUCCGGCAAAGAACCCGUGGCAGCCCAGCCCUGGAACAAAAUACCAACUGCAGAGUAGGGCUCUUCGGAGACCAGGUCACCAGAAAGCCCCUGGACAGAGGACCAGAGAUAAUGAUCCCUCGUGGCCGUCACCGAUUGAGGACCUACUAUGUGUCAGAGACUUGUUUUGUUUUCAGAUGAGUCAAGAUGAUCAAUUACAGGAAUGCUCCCAGGAGCCUUUGAAUUAUGCAGCGUUAAUUUGUCUUUAAGCAGAAUGCCCCCAGACUGCAGGACUUUGAGUUGAUUUUAGGAUGUACAAAAGAAAACAUAUAUCAAGAAGCAUAAUAAACUGUGAACUUGCUGCUCAAUUUAGGAAUUAGAACAUUACUGAUAAUGUGUCCUUCUCUGUCCCAUCCCCUGAGUCCCCACCAGAGGAAACCACUAUUCUAAAUUUUGUAUUCAGGGAAUUCUCUGGCAGUCCAGUGGUUAGGACUGUGCGUUUCCGCUGCUGGGGCCCUGGGUCUGAUCCCUGAUCAGGAAACUAAUUCCCACAAGCUGCAGCGUGGCCAAUAAAUAAAUAAAUAAAUUUUGUGUUCAA